UACGAAGGGAGCUAGCGUUGUUCGGAAUCACUGGGCGUAAAGCGCACGUAGGCGGAUGUGUCAGUCAGGGGUGAAAUCCCGGAGCCCAACUUCGGAACUGCCUUUGAUACAGCACGUCUUGAGUCCGAUAGAGGUGGGUGGAAUUCCUAGUGUAGAGGUGAAAAUUCGUAGAUAUUAGGAAGAACACCGGUGGCGAAGGCGGCCCACUGGAUCGGUACUGACGCUGAGGUGCGAAAGCGUGGGGAGCAAACAGG
rnacentral:rRNA from 1 species